rnacentral:lncRNA from 1 species
GUGAGUGUGGUCACCAGACCAUGCUCUACACGUUAGAACAAAGGACCCCAGAAGCACAUCUGCCCCAGACUCAACCAGAUGGGCUUUGCUGUCCAGACAACAUAGGUGGAGACCUCACAUUUCGAGGGAACGUGGAACACGGAACACUUCAGAUUUUCAACGAUGCUGGAUUUGAGCUGUUCACUUGAAAAUAAAGUCUGUUGCAUCACAAGUGCUGGUUGGCAUCGCUGUCCUCCUAUCAGUGGAUUAAGAAAAGGCACAGCGAAAAACUAGUUUAAAAUCACCAGUCGGAUAUUUUACAGGUGCUUUCUAUUCAGAAGAGGAUAAAAUACCUUGGAGAGAAAAAAGAUGGAAGAGAGAAGAAUUUCAAUUUUGGAUUAUUAUUUUUAGCUGGACAAAUUGAGAGGAAAAAGUUCUCAAAUUUUAUGUGAAAGAAGAUUUAUGAGAUAUGAAUGAACUGCUGUCAUUAGAUACCGCCUUAUUAUACGCCAGCUGGUCAUCAGCAUGGAGGAGUUCAAUGUGAAGAGCGA